CAAGUCGACGAUGAACCACUUCGGUGGGGAUUAGUGGCGAACGGGUGAGUAACACGUGGGCAAUCUGCCCUGCACUCUGGGACAAGCCCUGGAAACGGGGUCUAAUACCGGAUACUGAACCUUACAGGCAUCUGUGAGGGUCGAAAGCUCCGGCGGUGCAGGAUGAGCCCGCGGCCUAUCAGCUAGUUGGUGAGGUAAUGGCUCACCAAGGCGACGACGGGUAGCCGGCCUGAGAGGGCGACCGGCCACACUGGGACUGAGACACGGCCCAGACUCCUACGGGAGGCAGCAGUGGGGAAUAUUGCACAAUGGGCGAAAGCCUGAUGCAGCGACGCCGCGUGAGGGAUGACGGCCUUCGGGUUGUAAACCUCUUUCAGCAGGGAAGAAGCGAAAGUGACGGUACCUGCAGAAGAAGCGCCGGCUAACUACGUGCCAGCAGCCGCGGUAAUACGUAGGGCGCAAGCGUUGUCCGGAAUUAUUGGGCGUAAAGAGCUCGUAGGCGGCUUGUCACGUCGGUUGUGAAAGCCCGGGGCUUAACCCCGGGUCUGCAGUCGAUACGGGCAGGCUAGAGUUCGGUAGGGGAGAUCGGAAUUCCUGGUGUAGCGGUGAAAUGCGCAGAUAUCAGGAGGAACACCGGUGGCGAAGGCGGAUCUCUGGGCCGAUACUG
rnacentral:rRNA from 1 species